rnacentral:rRNA from 1 species
CGAGCGCACCCCUAUCCUUAUUUGCCAGCGAGUUAUGUCGGGAACUCUAAGGAGACUGCCGGUGAUAAACCGGAGGAAGGUGGGGACGACGUCAAGUCAUCAUGGCCCUUACGGGAUGGGCUACACACGUGCUACAAUGGCAAGUACAGAGGGCAGCAAUACCGCGAGGUGGAGCGAAUCCCACAAAGCUUGUCGUAGUCCGGAUUGGAGUCUGCAACUCGACUCCAUGAAGUCGGAAUCGCUAGUAAUCGUAGAUCAGAAUGCUACGGUGAAUACGUUCCCGGGCCUUGCACACACCGCCCGU